GGCAAGGGGAACCGUUCAGCAAACCCCGCUUUCCUCGGCGGGGCGCAGGGGCCGGCGGGCGACGCCUGCACACACUCGGCUUUGCGAAGUACAGAGCGCCCGGGCCGAGUGGCGCCCGGGGUGGAGGAGAUCCUACCCGCCCAGCCCUCCUUCGGCCCGGCGGAGAGGGAGUGGGGUGCGCCCCGCCCGCCCCCAGCCCGACUCCGCUGGAAACCUGGGCUCCUCGAGCGCGCGGGGCGGGGAUGCUGCGGGGGCCGGCGGGGCCCCGGGGCAGGUUAUGUAGAAUGGCUCUUGACAUCGCUCUGCUUCCUGUCUGCCAUGCCCUGAGCAGCUUUCCUCUGCCAUGCGGUUCUACCCUGGAGCCAGAUGACUGUGGACUGAAACCUCUACAAACCGACCUGGCCAAGCUCCUUGCCCAGCGCAGACCGGCUGCCCUUGUCUAUUGGCCUUUGAGUGGACAAGGAAGGAGGAAGUGAGAGGCACUCCGACAGAGAAGAGUCCCUUUCCCUGCAACUCCAGGAAAACCUGCAGGCUCCCCACACCUGGCGGAAGCAGGAGGCAGCCAUGCCCGCAAGGCUAAAGUCCUGGCCUACAGCCCCAGCAGCCUUCCUCCAGAGUUUACCCAGUGCACACACCUGAGAACUGGCCCAGGAGGGCCAGGUAGCUGGCAUGUCCCUGCGAGAACAGCCAGCAGGUACAGAGUGCCCUGGAGGCUGGUCCUCUGGGAGGGAGGGUGACAUCCAGAAACUGGCCUGGCUGAUUUUUAUCAAGCCACCUUUCAGUGAAGUUGUAUGGUGUGAAAUGGAACAAUGCAAUUGCUUAACCAUCACCGCCUGCCGCACCAUCUAGUCAGAGGUGAUUUUUGCUCAACCGGAUGGGGGGAAGUCGUUAUGAAGCCUUAAUAAAAAUUUUUUUUUCUGGAUGUAGGCAGCAGACUUUAACAAUUAAUAUUGCUGCAAUCUAGCUUUCUACACUGUUUAUUGAGCUUUAAAAAGAAGUGCCACCCUUAAGCCUGAACCCCUUAAGUAUUUUUUUAUAACCGAGGCUAAGAUGGAGGUGGUGUAGCUAAUUAAAUAACAUAGGUCAGAGGCUUUGUUGUUGUUUCCAUACUGGGGAUUGAACCCAGGGACUUCACACAGAGCUACAGCCCCGUCCCACUCUUAACUUUUUAUUUUGAGAGGGGUCUUGAUAAGCCACUGAGUCGCCCAG
ensembl:lncRNA